ACCCUUAUAAUUCAAGGAAAUUAGAAUUUUGUGCUGAAGAUACAAAAGUGAUAAAGUUUAUCUAUGGGUA
rnacentral:tRNA from 1 species